rnacentral:rRNA from 1 species
GUAGGGUGCAAGCGUUAAUCGGAAUUACUGGGCGUAAAGCGUGCGCAGGCGGUUUUGUAAGUCUGACGUGAAAUCCCCGGGCUUAACCUGGGAAUUGCGUUGGAGACUGCAAGGCUGGAGUCUGGCAGAGGGGGGUAGAAUUCCACGUGUAGCAGUGAAAUGCGUAGAGAUGUGGAGGAACACCGAUGGCGAAGGCAGCCCCCUGGGUCAAGACUGACGCUCAUGCACGAAAGCGUGGGGAGCAAACAGGAUUAGAUACCCUGGUAGUCCACGCCCUAAACGAUGUCUACUAGUUGUCGGGUCUUAAUUGACUUGGUAACGCAGCUAACGCGUGAAGUAGACCGCCUGGGGAGUACGGUCGCAAGAUUA